GUUGAACGCUGGCGGCAGGCCUAACACAUGCAAGUCGAGCGGAGCGUCGGACGGGUAGGUAAUGCCUAGGAAUCUGCCUGGUAGUGGGGGAUAAAGUACGGAAACGGGAGCUAAUACCGCAUAAUAUCAGAUGACCCUAGGUUGGAUUAGCUAGUUGGUGGGGUAAAGGCUUACCAAGGCGACGAUCCGUAACAUGUCUGAGAGGAUGAUAAGUACCACUGGAACUGAGACACGGUCCAGACGCCUACGGUAGGCAGCAGUGGGGAAUCUUGGACAAUGGGCGAAAGCCUGAUCCAGCCAUGCCGCGGGUGUGAAGAAUGUCUUCGGAUCGUAAAGCACGUUAAGUUGGGAGGCGUUACCUACAGAAUAAGAAACGGCUAACUUCGUGCCAGCAGCCGCGGUAAUUC
rnacentral:rRNA from 1 species